AGUCUGGACACCUCGAACAGGGCAUGACUCCAAAACCAGACUUUAUCAAAGCUCCGCACUGAAGGGGGCUCUGCAAUCACGUCCUCAAAUGUGACCUUAAGGCACAAACAGACGAUGCUGUUACGGUGUGACUGGCAGGUGCAGCUCCACACUGCAGGUGCUUCUCAUUGAGUCCAAUCAAGAGGGCUUCUUAAGGAGCAGGAACCUGGAGGGAGACUUUAGCUCGUUAUCUCUCCCAGUGUGGUAACCUGAUUGUGUUCUGCAGUUCUCCUGGGUUUGCUGAGCCAGCUCUAAUUGUGUUUCUUUGUCCUGCCUAUGCAGAUCUGGAUCCCUCUGAUAACCGUUUCCUGGAUUCCCCGCUCCUGUUCUUGGAACUACUCCCAGCCGCUCCAACCGUGAGCCUCCCUCCCUUCCUCUCCUGUCUCCAGCCCUGUGACUCAGUGAUCACUUCUUUGAGAUACCAAACCAUUGCUCACCUGCCUGUCCAGCCUCCCAACACCGCACGCUCAACUGAAGUGCUGCCACUUUGAAGAUCACAAUGUGAGAGAAUCAGUACUGAAACCUCCGUGCCACUCCUCCUCCCUAACUCAGCCUCUGUGGGAAAACCUACCUCCUACAAAUCAUAAUAAUAAUCAUCUUUAUUGGUCAUUGCACAUGUACAUUACAAUGAAAUUUGUCCUCUGCAUUUAACCCAUCCCUUACAGGGAGCAGUGGGCUGCCUGUCAUCCACUGUCAACAGUAAGCAGACCUCACUCCUGUCCUGCACAACUCUGAAUAUCUUCUCCAGAACACACAAUAAUCUCUAUCCUCUGCUCCUCAGUGCCUACCCAGAUCCCUCUGGCAGAUCCAGUCUGUUAGAAAUAAACUGUUUAAUCUCC